rnacentral:rRNA from 1 species
GCUUAACACAUGCAAGUCGAACGAAAAGACGGAAAGAGCUUGCUCUUUUCAGAAUUGAGUGGCAAACGGGUGAGUAACACGUAAACAACCUGCCUUCAGGAUGGGGACAACAGACGGAAACGACUGCUAAUACCGAAUAAGUUCCAAGAGCCGCAUGGCCCAUGGAAGAAAAGGUGGCCUCUACCUGUAAGCUAUCGCCUGAAGAGGGGUUUGCGUCUGAUUAGCUGGUUGGAGGGGUAACGGCCCACCAAGGCGACGAUCAGUAGCCGGUCUGAGAGGAUGAACGGCCACACUGGAACUGAGACACGGUCCAGACUCCUACGGGAGGCAGCAGUGGGGAAUCUUCCGCAAUGGGCGAAAGCCUGACGGAGCAACGCCGCGUGAGUGAUGACGGCCUUCGGGUUGUAAAACUCUGUGAUCCGGGACGAAAAGGCAGAGUGCGAAGAACAAACUGCAUUGACGGUACCGGAAAAGCAAGCCACGGCUAACUACGUGCCAGCAGCCGCGGUAAUACGUAGGUGGCAAGCGUUGUCCGGAAUUAUUGGGCGUAAAGCGCGCGCAGGCGGCUUCCCAAGUCCCUCUUAAAAGUGCGGGGCUUAACCCCGUGAUGGGAAGGAAACUGGGAAGCUGGAGUAUCGGAGAGGAAAGUGGAAUUCCUAGUGUAGCGGUGAAAUGCGUAGAGAUUAGGAAGAACACCGGUGGCGAAGGCGACUUUCUGGACGAAAACUGACGCUGAGGCGCGAAAGCGUGGGGAGCAAACAGGAUUAGAUACCCUGGUAGUCCACGCCGUAAACGAUG